GAUGAACGCUGGCGGCGUGCCUAACACAUGCAAGUCGAGCGGCCGCACGAGCAGGCUUCCUCUCUGGUGUGAGCGUGGCGCGGGGGAGUAACAUGCAUAUAACCUUCCUCUAAGACGGGGGUAACCUCGUCGAACGAGUGCUUAAUCCCGAAAACAUCUUGAGCCGGAUGGUGCAAAAGUGAAAGACGUCCUUCUUUACACUCAGAGAUGGAUCGGCGCUGCAUUAGCUAGUUGGUAAGGUAACGGCUUACCAAGGCAACGAUGCGUAGCAGACCUGAGAGGAUGAUCAGCCACACUGGAACUGAGACACGGUCCAGACUCCUACGGGAGGCAGCAGUGGGGAAUCUUGGGCAAUGGGCGAAAGCCUGAUCGAGCAACGCCGCGUGUGUGAUGAAGGCCUUCGGGUCGUAAAGCACUGUUGUUAGGGAAGAAAAGAUUUGUGUUAAUACCUGCGGAUGUUGACGGUACCUGAAGAGAAAGCCCCGGCUAACUACGUG
rnacentral:rRNA from 1 species